CACAAACACACACACACAUACAAUGUUGCAAAGUCUUAGAGGUCAGCUUAAUACCUGAGACGGUUCAAAGGGUGUUUGCGGUUUUCGCUGCUUCAACUGUUCGGCCGCCCUACCGUUCCUGUGUUCUGCUUUGCCAUACGGCCGUCCUAGUGUUCCUCUGGUUCUUGCAGUCCUUCUGCAUGGUUUCUAAUUUUCAGUCAGUUUGCAACCCUCGUUGCUGGGCCGAGACCUUUGUUAGUAUCGACAUGCCAAACCUCAGCAGCCUGGGCAAGAUCUGUGGCUCCAACCGGGGCGAGGAUAUGGUGGUGAUGGACAGGGCAAAGCGCAAGAAUUCGGUUAGGCGCAUGUCGAUCAUUGAGGAUGGUCAGAUUGCUGAGGUUCUCUACCUGAUUCCGAAACAAUCGAUGAUGGAGCAGCUUCCCUUCCUGAACCCCAACGACUAUAUCCUGUGUGAGCGGAUGGUAGGCAUGCCGCCAGACAUGGGAUCAAUUGGACCAGUGGGCCAUGUUCAGGACCCUGCAGAGAAGCUGUGCAUCCAAUGCUACAAAUGUGGGGAGCCAUGCAAGGGAGAGGUGCUGCGGGUCCAGUACAAGCACUUCCACAUCAAGUGCUUUACCUGCAAGGUGUGCGGGUGCGACUUGGCUCAGGGAGGUUUCUUCAUGAAGAACGGGGACUACCUGUGCACGUUGGACUACCAGCGGCUCCAUGGCACAUGCUGCAAUGGCUGUGGGAGCUUUGUAGAGGGAGAGGUGGUCACUGCUCUCGGCAAGACGUACCAUCCGGCCUGUUUCGUCUGCACAAUCUGCAAACGACCAUUUCCUACUGGAGAUCGUGUCACCUUUAAUGGGAAAGACUGUCUCUGUCAACACUGCAUCCACCCUAUGUCCCCUACCCCCAAAGACAUCAGCAGCUCCAGCAACUGUGCAGGCUGUGGUAGGGACAUUAAGAAUGGCCAGGCCCUAUUGGCUCUGGAAAGACAGUGGCACCUUGGCUGCUUCAAGUGCAAGGCCUGUGGCAAUGUGCUGAGCGGGGAGUACAUUAGCAAGGAUGGCACCCCCUAUUGCGAGAAAGACUACCAGAUCCACUUUGGGGUCCAGUGUGAGGCCUGCAAUCAGUUCAUCACAGGGAAGGUUCUGGAAGCAGGUGACAAGCAUUACCAUCCCAGUUGUGCAAGGUGCAGCAGAUGCAACUACAUGUUCACAGAAGGAGAGGAAAUGUACCUGCAAGGAUCUACAGUAUGGCAUCCAGACUGUAAGAACAAUAGCAGAGCUGAAGAGAAAUACAGGCCUACCAGGUCCUCAUCUGAGAGUAUCUGCUCAAGACCUGGCUCCAGCAUCUCAGGGUCCCCUGGUCACACAUUCUAUGUGAGUACCUACAGCAACUCUGCACACUACUAACUGGAGAUGCAACUGAAGGUUACACAACUGACUGGGGACUCCAAUGAAAAAACAGUGUUAUUCUUCUACUUUAUUAUUGAUUGAUAUCACUCCAAGGUGUUCCCUACUUAUUGCGCUGUAUCAUCUAUGUGUUUGUUAUGUUGGGAGUAUUGUCAUGUACACUGUCCUGAGUUAUUUAUGGUUGUCUUGUCAUUGUCCUGUAUGUAUUUUGUAUAAUAAAAAAAAUGUAUUAAAAGCAUCACAAUUCUGGCUAAAUACUAUUAUAUCGUUAUUAGGUAGUGUAGGGCUUUUGAAGUCUUGGUAGCUCUUUAGUUGAACCCUCAGUCAUAAAACAGGCUUAACAACACUCACUGAUCACCAUAUUUUGCACAAACGGAGCUGUACAAUAUUCGGACCAAUUCAAUAUUGCUGUUGAGGAACCUGGCUAGCUCAGUCGGUAGAGCACGAGACUCUUAAUCUCAGGUUCGUGGGUUUGAGCCCCACGUUAGGUGCUUAUUUUCUCUGUCGAAGUACCAACUCACUUCGCAAACAGCCCUCCGCUUGGACUUUCGAGCAGGCUUGCCACCCUGCAUUGCUGACGUGUCAGGCAUAGCUGGUGAUUCAGAAGACUAUGGAUCUGAAUCCUAGCUGUGCCUGCACUCUGACCUGUUAUCUCAAUGACAUACCUAUUACCUAUGAAUUGUCCUCCUAAAUGGAUUGAAAAAGUGCUCCUUUUCUGGACAAGAAAUAGACAGGGAGAGGGUUCAAGAUGAAUACUUGUUCAUGGCGAGGCUUGAACUCACAACCCUUUCAUCAAUUUGCUGCAUAUUGCUGUAUAAGCACAAGACACUCACCGAUUGCACCACAGGAUCCAUUAAUAACACUCUCACUGAUCACCAUAUUUUAAACAAACGGAGCUGUACGAUAUUCGGACCAAUUCAAUGUUACUGUUGAGGUACCUGGCUAGCUCAGUCGGUAGAGCAUGAUACUCUUAAGCUCAGGGUCGUGUGCUCGAGCCCCAUGUGGGGUGCUUAUUUUCUCUCUCGAAGUACCAACUCACUUCGCGAACAGCCAACCGCUUGGAUUUUCCAGCAGGCUUGCCACCCUGCAUUGCUGACGUGUCAGGCAUAGCUGGUGAUUCAGAAGACUAUGGACUUGAAUCGUAGCUGUGCCUGUAGUCUGACCUGUUAUCUCAAUGACAUACCAAUUACUUAUGAAAUAGACUGAAUAAAUGCUCCUUUUCUGGACAAGAAAUAGACAGGCAGAGGGUUCAAGAAAAGCACUUGCUCCUGGUGAGGCUCGAACUCACAACCUUGGCAUUGCUUCGCUGCAUACUGAUGUAUAAGUAACACGCGCUAACCGCCUGCGCGACAGUAGCUACGCACAGCACUCUCACUGAUCACCAUAUUUUGAAAAAACAUAGCUGUACGAUAUUUGGUCCAAGUCAGUACCACAAUUGACCUACCUGGCAAGCGCAGACGUUUGAGCAUGAGCCUCUUAAUCUCAGAAUCGUAGGGUCGAUAACACAAAUGGGGUGAUUCUUGUCUGCGCCGAAGCACCAACUCACUUUGCAAACAGCCAUUCACCUAGACAUUCGAGCAGGCUUGCCACCCUGCAUUGCUGAAGUGUCAGGCACAGCUGGUGAUACUAUGAGGUUUCUGUGUUAUGCACUAUAGCCCGUUACCAUAUAUGUGAUUUAAUAUUAUCUGCUGUUGGCUUGUGUUGAUGUAUGUAUGUGUUAUGCAACAUAGCUGACUUGAAACAUUGUUAACAGUUUCAGGGCCAUGGCCCUUUCUCAUGAUGGAAAAAUACAGAGUAGCAUGAAGACAGGAACUGUUUAAUGAGUUGGGAGGGGGCACAUUCAGAGCGGGGUGUUGCGAGAACAAGCUGUCUUUUGUUAGAUAACAGGAUCCAGGUGCGAGAUAACGGUAUCGAGCAUGAGCGCAUAGAUAUUCUUCACAGCAUGUUACAUCUAUCAACUGGAGCGCCCGGGGGCUGGUACCAGCUCGUACGACAACAAUCAAUAAUAGGCUAGGAGAGUCUAAACCAAGCCCAGUCUCUACUGUGAUAGGCCAACAGACGGGUUGGAACUAUGUCUAUCACAGUAUAAAGAAUAUUGUUUACAUACAUCUUGUCAGUUCUCUGUUCUGCCCUGUGUGGUAUUACAGAGAGCCCAUAUAUACCAAAGUUGCAUUUACCACUUAUUGCUUAGCUAAUAAAAAAUACAUAGUAUACAAUCGGUGACACAUUGUCAUAUUUAUCCUGAUACCAGAUUCGAAUUGACGCAAAUCUAACAUGGUGACCCCGACGUGAUCUGGUAAAGGACAUCGCUGGAAAUUGUCCGGCCGAUUGGCCAGUACUGUAGUCGGAUGGUGUGUCUCACAAAUCCUGACCGGUCAACUAAAAAAGGUAGGCAGACACCUGUUGUGAAAAACUAAAGUUCUGCACAUUGGAGUAAUCCAAAUUUAGUUUUGUGAGACACCUGUUUGAUGUAAGUAACCAAAUUCUAUUAAUUUAUAUUGGUAAAGGACCAUAAGGAUUACAUAGUGGUAAAUGCAAUUUUGAACUGAUCGAUCACUUUUAUGGUAUGACAGUGAAUGUAAUGUACUAGGUAGUUUGGCGAAGCUACUGGUUUAUGUGAGGGUGGGUUGGCGAACCUACCAGUGUGAAUGUGAGGUGAACGGCAAUAUAACUGCGAAUGUAAUGUACUAGGUAGUUCGGCGAAGCUACUGGUUUAUAUGAGGGUGGGUCGGCGAAUCUACUUGUGUGAGUGUGGAUGAAUGGCAAUAUAACAGCGAAUGUAAUGUACUAGGUGGGUCGGCGUACCUACUGGUUUGUGUGGGUGAGUCGGCGUACUUACUGGUGUGAAUGAAGAUUUGAUAAGGACAAAUCGAAUGAUUGUGGUACAUUAGUUAUCAGUCGGUGUACUGAUGACGGGCUGAAUGAUCUACGGAUAAUAGUACAGGCAAGAGACCUGUGUUAUAUUGGAAAUAAGAUAAGUUCCUCGAGUGACUGUAGUACAUUAGUUAUUUGUCGACGUACAAUAACAGUUGAAUGACCUAAGGGUAAUGAGAUGGGUUUUAUUGGAAAUAAGAUAAGUUCCUCGAGUGACUGUGGUACAUUAGUUAUUCGUCGACGUACAAUAACAGUUGAAUGACCUAAGGGUAAUGAGAUGGGUUUUAUUGGAAAUAAGAUAAGUUCCUCGAGUGACUGUGGUACAUUAGUUAUUCGUCGACGUACAAUAACAGUUGAAUGACCUAAGGGUAAUGAGAUGGGUUUUAUUGGAAAUAAGAUAAGUUCCUCGAGUGACUGUGGUACAUUAGUUAUUCGUCGGCGUACAAUAACAGGAGAAUGAUCUAAGGGUAAUGAGAUGGGUUUUAUUGGAAAUAAGAUAAGUUCAACGAGUGACUGUGGUACAUUAGUUAUUCGUCGACGUACAAUAACAGUUGAAUGACCUAAGGGUAAUGAGAUGGGUUUUAUUGGAAAUAAGAUAAGUUCACUGAAUGAAUGUAGUACAUUGAGUAUUGAGUGGGAAUAGUUAAUACCAGUUUGAACGACCUACGGGUAUUUCUUGAAGUCAUUACUGUUAAUUGACUAAGGAGGUAGCAACGUUGACAUGAAAAAAAGUGGCGAAUUGGUAUUGGAAAUAAUUCUAAAAAUUAUAUGAUACACACCCCAAAUGUACCUAACAAUGACUAGUCAAGAGACUGAGAAGGUGUUGAAAACUUUGAAGUCCACUUUAGAAAUAAAUGGUGGUAGAAGCGGGGAGAAAAGCUAUACAGGGAGUGGACAGAAGAAGGCAGCAUUGCCGCGCCCAACGGGCUCCCAGUCGACGGGGAGCCUGGUUUGAUAUUGGAGACGCUAAAACGGAGAAUAAGGAGAAUCCUCGCUGGGGAAAAGCUUGGGCCUUUGAAUUGUAAUGUUUUCUGGGAAUUGUCUCGGUGCCGGAGUUUGCUAGUAUAGACAAUUAUAAUGGUAUGGUUAUUGGCUCGGGAUCUCAAUCAUUUGAAUGGCGUUGGGGUAAAGUUUUUGCCUUCAAUGCGGGGGACUGGGGUUCGUGUCUCAGCCUUGACAUUGAUAGACUAAAAUUAAUUCUGAUUGUAGUUCAAAUAUUUAUGGGUUUUGUCCAGAUUUUGUUUAGGUUGAAUUGAGAGACUAAUUCGUUCGAGAUAAUGGCGAGGCAAUUUCUAUGUAAUACAUUGUGUUUCCCAAAUGAUCACUGGAAUAGCCUAUUGGGAAUGGAGGCGUAUUUUAUUUUUAUUUUUUUAAGGUGCUGGGUCAUGGGAUGAGACAGUUAUCUAAAUCUGAUUAAUUCUAAAUAAUAAUACAGAGACAAUUACGAUAGAUUUGUGCCCAUCAAAAUGUUCUUAUGAAUUUAGCAAAGUACAUGGUACGUUUACAUUUUGGGGUAGAGGAAGUUGGAAGGUAAAACUGCGUAAUUACGUUGACUACACAAUAACAUUCCUCGAAUUAUGACAGAGAAAAUUGGUUGUGUCAUUUAGAGGGAAAAUGCGUGCAUUAUAGCUUUGAGUCACUUUACGGAAAAAAAAGUUCCAAAUAUUUGUAGCUGAAUAUCGUUUUACAAUAAUUCCCGGUUAUUGAUUUUGGUUUGAUUGUUCAGAUAACACCAUUUGAAGUUAAACAGGAGGUUAAGGUAUACUAAUAUUAGAAUCUGUUUUCAUUAUGGGGAACAAUGAAAAGCCCGCAAAGUGGAUUGCAGGCUGAUUUUAUUUUAUGUUAAAGGGACAGUGCACGUUUAUCACAAUUGUGUGAGUUUAUUGGCAGGGUAUAAAGCAUUUGGGGGAGACAAUCCUUUAAAGACUGAAUGAGUUACAUGAAACAUUGAGGAAAUUUAAAACAAGUUAUUUGAGGGUAUUGAUAUAAUUAUUAGGUUUUGUUUGUAGCAAACGUUUUGGGUUUAAGGGGAUUUCAAUGUUCCCAGAGACAAGAUAUCUUAAAGGGGUACACUCACAUAUGAAAUAUUAUGCGUUUUUAUUUUCUGAGUCUUAAUUAAAUAGGUGAAAUCUUUUGAUAAAGGAAUGUUGUUUAAUAUAGUAAGAAACACUUCUUUGGAGGGGUGGUAUGACUUGUGACCUCCAUUGUAACUUUCCUUUGUGGUCUGAUCAGGCUCAUUGGAAAGCCAUUUGGAUGGAGAAUCUAGGAUAAUUUGUAACACUGAUAUUAAGGUAAUUUAAUCCAAAAAGGCAGUGAAAUGUACAUUAUAGUGUCAUUAUAUUUUCUCUGAUGAACGUGGUGUGAAAAUUAGCUAGGAUAAGUUUUAAUUAUGGUAGACUCAUGUUAAGUAUUUGGGACAUAUUUUGAGCCAACAGGGCAGGGAAGAAAUGGAGAUAUUUGUGUUUGGUUUUAACACCUGUGUACAGGAGUGCCAGUGUACCUGUGUAAUGGGGGAGGGUGUCCGUAUGGGGAUUACAUGAUAACCAACUUGGGACAGUUCUGGGAUUGGAGAAGAGGGUAUCCUUAGAGCAUAGGGGAUCCCACAAAGGUGUAUAGGUUUUCCAUGAUAUGGGGGAAACCUGGGAGCACUGUUGAACUCUGUAAAGGUGAUGAAAUCCUACUAACCAUCAAAACCAUUAAGCUCUCUGAUGCAGGCACUUACACCCUCGGACUACAAAGGACCGGGACAGACACGAUGGGUGUGUUUUCUAUUAAGGUGCUGCCAAAACCACAGAGGUCCCAGACGAACCAGAGCCAGACACACUCCUCUACCACCCCUGGACCGAACCUGCCACUUACCACCACUCUGUCAAAUCUCAUUCAGUUGCAGGCCUAAACCAAACGAGUGGUCUGGCUGAUGUGUGGUGGAUAUGUGGACCCAAAAGAGUACUGAGACCCGUUCUUAGAGGAGACUGGCAAGGGGGCCUGAAAACAUUACAUCCCAUGGGAGACAUAGAUGUAGUGCUCCAUGGACGGAAGAUGCAGUUGACAUAUAUGUGAGAAUGCUGUUCAUUGACUACAGCUCGGCAUUCAACACCAUAGUACCCUCCAAGCUCGUCAUCAAGCUCGAGAGCAUGGGUCUCGACCCCGCAAUGUGCAACUGGGUACUGGACUUCCUUACGGGCCGCCCCCAGGUGGUGAGGGUAGGCAACAACAUCUCCACCCCGCUGAUCCUCAACACUGGGGCCCCACAAGGGUGCGUUCUGAGCCCUCUCCUGUACUCCCUGUUCACCGACGACUGCGUGGCCACGCACGCCUCCAACUCAAUCAUCAAGUUUGCAGACGACACAACAGUGGUAGGCUUGAUUACCAACAACGACGAGACGUCCUACAGGGAGGAGGUGAGGGCCCUCGGAGUGUGGUGUCAGGAAAAUAACCUCACACUCAACGUCAACAAAACUAAGGAGAUGAUUGUGGACUUCAGGAAACAGCAGAGGGAACACCCCCCUAUCCACAUCGAUGGAUCAGUAGUGGAGAGGGUAGUAAGUUUUAAGUUCCUCGGCAUACACAUCACAGACAAACUGAAUUGGUCCACUCACACAGACAGCAUCGUGAAGAAGGCGCAGCAGCACCUCUUCAACCUCAGGAGGCUGAAGAAAUUCAGCUUGUCACCAAAAGCUCAUUGGAAAGCCAUUUGGAUGGAGAAUCUAGGAUAAUUUGUAACACUGAUAUUAAGGUAAUUUAAUCCAAAAAGGCAGUGAAAUGUACAUUAUAGUGUCAUUAUAUUUUCUCUGAUGAACGUGGUGUGAAAAUUAGCUAGGAUAAGUUUUAAUUAUGGUAACGGCAACUGCUCCGCCCACAACCGUAAGGCUCUCCAGAGGGUAGUGAGGUCUGCACAACGCAUCACCGGGGGCAAACCACCUGCCCUCCAGGACACCUACACCACCCGAUGUUACAGGAAGGCCAUAAAGAUCAUCAAGGACAACAACCACCCGAGCCACUGCCUGUUCACCCCGCUAUCAUCCAGAAGGCGAGGUCAGUACAGGUGCAUCAAAGCUGGGACCGAGAGACUGAAAAACAGCUUCUAUCUCAAGGCCAUCAGACUGUUAAACAGCCACCACUAACAUUGAGUGGCUGCUGCCAACACACUGACAUUGACACUGACCCAACUCCAGCCACUUUAAUAAUGGGAAUUGAUGGGAAAUGAUGUAAAUAUAUCACUAGCCACUUUAAACAAUGCUACCUAAUAUAAUGUUUACAUACCCUACAUUAUUCAUCUCAUAUGUAUACGUAUAUACUGUACUCUAUAUCAUCUACUGCAUCCUUAUGUAAUACAUGUAUCACUAGCCACUUUAACUAUGCCACUUUGUUUACAUACUCAUCUCAUAUGUAUAUACUGUACUCGAUACCAUCUACUGUAUCUUGCCUAUGCUGCUCUGUACCAUCACUCAUUCAUAUAUCUUUAUGUACAUAUUCUUUAUCCCCUUACACUGUGUAUAAGACAGUAGUUUUGGAAUUGUUAGUUAGAUUACUUGUUGGUUAUUACUGCAUUGUCGGAACUAGAAGCACAAGCAUUUCGCUACACUCGCAUUAACAUCUGCUAACCAUGUGUAUGUGACAAAUAAAUUUGAUUUGAUUUGAUUUUGACAUACACACUAAUCUGUUGGGGGUGCCUGUUGGGGUUCCUCAUGAAUUUCAGGCAUUGGGUAGGAAUGACUGACUCUGGCACUUACUACCUAUUAUAGGCCCAGCCAUAGUGGAUGCAAGACAGACUGCAUGGAUUAAUUAUAUCUAAUAUAAUCAACAGCGUUUUGAGAAUUACUCUCGUGAUGCACUCACUGGUAUGUCAGAACAGUUGGAGGCUACAUCUAGAGUUUCCAGACAGAAUAGACUUGCUUUGCAUAUGCUUCUUGCCAGUCAGGGGGGUGUCUGUAAGAUGUUCGGUGAACAAUGUUGCACGUAUAUUCCUAAUAACACCAGUCCAGAUGGUAGAAUAUCUAAGGCCCUUAGUGGGCUUGAUGCACUAUCUGCUGAGAUGAGAACCAUGGCGGGGGUGGAGGAGUCUGGACUGUUCUCUUGGUUGGGAGCCUGGUUUGGUAAGUACACUGGUAUGGUGGUUACUGGAUUUCUGACCCUAAUUCUUGUAUUUUUGUUAUUGAUGUGUUGUGCUGCUUGCAUCAUACCGUGUUUUAAGAAGUCUGUUACAGAUGUGGUGAAGGCUUCAGGCAUGAUGCCUUUGCUUGAUGCUCCAGUUGGAGAUGCUGAUACUGAAUCAAGCUUUCAGGGGAGGAUAGGGCUGACUGAGGAUGACCCCUGUUUUGCUGUGGGUGAGGUCGUGGAAUGAUAACUUCUUAAAUACAUAACGUGUACGAUAUAACUUGUCCUCUCUUAUGUGAAGGUUUAGAGUCCCUGGGUGGCAAGGAGCCCACCUGAUACAGGAUAGGAGUAGCUGAGAGGACCAGAUGGUUUAUAAUAAUGCUUUGCUCUGCUUUACUCUGUUUUCCAUGACCAAAGUUAUCCUAUAUCUUACAUGUAAAUAAACAAUAACGUUUUAUCCUGUUUUUGAUGUGACACCCUUUAUGGGUGUAAAAAGGGGGAGAUAAAAGCAUGUAUAAUUUGUUGAUUUUUUAUUUCUAUUUUUCUUGGUUGAUUUUUCUUUUCUGUUUUUUCUGUAAAAAAUAAAUAAUGUUUUAUUAAUAAUAAACUUUUUAUUAUUUUCAUGAAAUGCUAUUAACAUAUUACUAUGUUGGGACCGCUGAAAUAAAGGAUAAUGACUGACACUUCAUAUAUUCGCAAAAUAAAGGUUUAAAGUUCUUGGGUUCAUCACCAACCUAGUAUAUCGGAUGGUAUGGUUACACCCCAUAGGGGUGUAAAAAGGGGGAUUAUGAGGUUUCUGUGUUAUGCACUAUAGCCUGUUACCAUAUAUGUGAUUGAAUAUUAUCUGCUGUUGGCUUGUGUGGAUGUAUGUAUGUGUUAUGCAACAUAGCUGACUUGAAUGAUGGAAAAAUACAGAGUAGCAUGAAGACAGGAACUGUUCAAUGAGUUGGGGGGUGGCACAUUCAGAGCGGGGUGUUUCGAGAACAAGCGGUCUUUUGUUAGAUAACAGGAGCCAGGUGCGAGAUAACGGUAUCGAGCAUGAGCGCAUAGAUAUUCUUCACAGCAAGUUACAUCUAUCAACUGGAGCGCCCGGGGGCUGAUACCAGCUCGUACGACAACAAUCAAUAAUUGGCUGGGAGAGUCUAAACCAUGCCCAGUCUCUACUGUGAUAGGCCAACAGACGGGUUGGAACUAUGUCUAUCACAGUAUAAAGAAUACUGUUUACAUACAUCUUGUCAGUUCUCUGUUCUGCCCUGCGUGGUAUUACAGAGAGCCUGUAUAUACCAAAGUUGCAUGUACCACUUAUUGCUUAGCUAAUAAAAAAUACAUAGUAUACAAUCGGUGACUCAUUGUCAUAUUUAUCCUGAUACCAGAUUCGAAUUGACGCAAAUCUAACAUGGUGACCCCGACGUAAAGGACAUCGCUGGACAUUGGUGUGCCAGCCGAUUGGCCAGUACUGUCGUCGGAUGGUGUGUCUCACAAAUCCUGACAGGUCAACUAAAAAAGGUAGGCAGACACCUGUUGUGAAAAACUAAAGUUCUGCACAUUGGAGUAAUCCAAAUUUAGUUUUGUGAGACACCUGUUUGAUGUAAGUAACCAAAUUAUAUUAAUUUAUAUUGGUAAAGGAUCAUAAGGAUUACAUAGUGGUAAAUGCAAUUUUGAACUGAUCGAUCACUUUUAUGGUAUGACAACUAGGAUUUGAAUCCUAGCUGUGCCUGCACUCUGACCUGUUAUCUCAAUGACAUACCAAUUUAUUAUGAAACGUCCUCCUAAUUGUAUUGAAUGAAAGCUCAUUUUCUGGACAAGAAAUAGACAGGGUUCAAGAAGAAUACUUGCUCCUGGUGGUGCUUGAACUCACAACCUUGUCAUCAAUUUGCUGUAUAUUACUGUAUAAGCACAAUACGAUAACCGAUUGCACCACAGUAUCCACUAACAACACUCUCACUGAUCACUACAUUUUCCACAAACGGAGCUGUACGAUAUUCGGACCAAUACAAGAUUACCAUUGAGGUACCUGGCUAGCUCAGUCGGUAGAGCAUGAGACUCUCAAUCUCAGGGUUGUGGGUUCGAGCCCCAUGUUGGGUGAUUAUUUUCUCUCCCGAAGUACCAACUAACUUCACGAACAGCCAACCGCUUGGAUUUUCGAGCAGGCUGCAUUGCUGAUGUGUCAGGCAUUGCUGG